UUCAUACUAAUUCUACACCACUUUACAGCAUACAAACACAAUCUAUGUUUCUCUACAGGAUCCAGAGGUCAGGUGACUGUGACUCAGACUCCUUCAGUGCAAACUACGGUCGGAAACACAGUCACCAUCAACUGUAAAACCAGUAGCAGUGUGUAUAAUGGUAACUGUCUCGCCUGGUACCUGCAGAAACCUGGAGAAGCUCCUAAACUCCUGAUCUAUUACGCUACAAGCUUACAGUCAGGAAUUCCAGCUCGUUUCAGAGGCAGUGGAUCGAAUACUGACUUCACUCUGACCAUCAGUGGAGUCCAGACUGAAGAUGCAGGAGAUUACUACUGUCAGAGUGUUCAUGUGAUCAGUAGUAGCUAUGUGUUCACACAGUGUUAGAGCAUCGUACAAAAACCUCGGUCAGUGAGAGUGUACAGAGAAGCACUGCUGCAGCUGGGAGAGACUGCAGGUGCUGAGGGGGAGGAUGUGAUACACACAAUCACACACACUGUGGAUGAGAGAAAACACACCACACUAACACACUAAUACACACAUCUGUAACACAUCUGUAACAGGAGUCCAUCUUUCACAUCUGUAGAUUUUCAAACAUUUCCUGAUCUUUCUGAUU